rfam:Felis catus isolate Cinnamon breed Abyssinian chromosome D1, whole genome shotgun sequence.
GCCUGGGUGGCUCAGUCGGUUAAAGCAUCCGACUUCAGCUCAGAUCAUGAUCUCGCGGUCCGUGAGUUCGAGCCCCGCGUCAGGCU